CGUGGCGGCGUGGAUAGGCAUGCAAGUCGAGCGCGAACCCCGCAAGGGGGGAAAGCGGCGAAAGGGACAGUAACACGUAGAUUACCUACCCUCAGGUUCAGGAUAGCUGCGGGAAACUGCAGGUAAUACUGAAUAAUAUCUCCGGAUCAAAGGUGUGAUUCCGCCGGAGGAUGGGUCUGCGUCCUAUUAGCUUGUUGGUGGGGUAACGGCCUACCAAGGCAAUGAUGGGUAGUGGGUGUGAGAGCACGACCCGCGUCACUGGGACUGAGAUACUGCCCAGACACCUACGGGUGGCUGCAGUCGAGGAUCUUCGGCAAUGGGCGCAAGCCUGACCGAGCGACGCCGCGUGCGGGAUGAAGGCCUUCGGGUUGUAAACCGCCGUCAGAGGGGAUGAAAUACAGGUGGGUUCUCCCAUCUGCUUGACAUAUCCUCAGAGGAAGUACGGGCUAAGUUCGUGCCAGCAGCCGCGGUAAGACGAACCGUACGAACGUUAUUCGGAAUCACUGGGCUUAAAGGGUGCGUAAGCUGCGCANAAAGUUGGGUGUGAAAUCCC
rnacentral:rRNA from 1 species